CCUACGGGUGGCAGCAGUGAGGAAUAUUGGUCAAUGGGCGCGAGCCUGAACCAGCCAAGUCGCGUGAAGGAUGACUGCCCUACGGGUUGUAAACUUCUUUUAUAAGGGAAUAAAGUGAGGCACGUGUGCCUUUUUGUCUGUACUUUAUGAAUAAGGAUCGGCUAACUCCGUGCCAGCAGCCGCGGUAAUACGGAGGAUUCGAGCGUUAUCCGGAUUUAUUGGGUUUAAAGGGAGCGUAGAUGGGUUGUUAAGUCAGUUGUGAAAGUUUGCGGCUUAACCGUGAAACUGCAAUUGAUACUGGCAGUCUGGAGUACAGUAGAGGUAGGCGGAAUUCGUGGUGUAGCGGUGAAAUGCUUAGAUAUCACGAAGAACUCCGAUUGCGAAGGCAGCUUACUAGACCGCCACUGACAGUGAGGCGCGAAAGCGUGGGGAUCAAACAGGAUUAGAUACCCGGGUAGUC
rnacentral:rRNA from 1 species